rnacentral:tRNA from 1 species
GCCCCCAUAUAUUAACCCACAAAGUAUGGCACUACACCUGCCAAAAGGGAACCCACAAUAACUUGCUG